rnacentral:rRNA from 1 species
ACCGGCAGCUCAAGUGGUGGCCAUUUUUAUUGGGCCUAAAGCGUUCGUAGCCGGUUUGAUAAGUCUCUGGUGAAAUCCCGCAGCUUAACUGUGGGACUUGCUGGAGAUACUAUUAGACUUGAGGUCGGGAGAGGUUAGGGGUACUCCCAGGAUAGGACUGAAAGCAUAAAACCCGGGGAGAACAACAGAUGGCGAAGGGCACUACCCGGAACCACCCCUACGGUGUUUAACGAAAGCCAGCGGUUCACCCAG